CUGUUCGCAUGCUUUGAGUUCAUCAUUCUUACCUGCUUCGUGUCGCCAUCUUGUUGUGUUGUCUUCUUUUUGUUUUGGCCGAGGUAGCGCACCCGUGGUAGCGCGGACCCGUGCGCGCCGUCGUUUGUUUGUGCUUGUGUUUUGUAGUACAUAACAGCCUUGCUUUCUCUUUGCGGAGCGCGGGAGCUUCUCUUGUUUCCCGCUUUCCCAUCCCUCUUUCGCAGUUCCUGCGAUCUCUUCCGUCCCUAUCUCGACGGAUUCACUCCCUGUCUGCGCACCUCUUACCAUGUUGCAUCUAACGUCGGAGCCGCAGAAGAAGAAGGGGCCGGCGGUGCCCGAGUGCAGCCGCUUUCUCCUUGGUUUGGCGCUGCUCCUCACCAUCAUCUCCGACGGCGCUAUGAACAGCCAGUUCACGGCACUCAGCACUAUCAUAACAGCCAACAGCGACCCAAGCGCCUUGCAGCAGCUGGCCACCUUUGCCGCCAUGGAAGACGUUGCGGAAGAGGAACACCUCGAUUGGGGUUCCACCGCUCGACUUGUGCAAGCGCAGCCGACGUCGCCGGCGAAGCCGCGCAAUGCGGUGCCGCCGGAUCCGACGACGCUAGGCAGCGUCUCUGCUCAUGCACACAGCCGGACAGACUCGGAGAAUAUGCUCAGCGAUGGUCUCUCCAAGUCGCUCACGGACAUCUCCACGAACGGGGUGGUCGGCAACUCGUCUGCUGCCUCGUCGUCUUCCUCUCGCCGCCGGCCCCAUCGCCGUCACCACCGCCGCAGCGGCACCGUGUCUGACGUGCCGUCCAAGGAUGAUGCUACUGCGGCGCUGAGCGCGUCCCGCCCGGUCCACAGCUACCACAUGUGGACGCAGUUUCACGUGAUGGAGAUGGCGUACAGCACCGGCUCAAACAACUUUGUCCACAUCACAGAGCGCUUCCUGGAGUACCAGCAGAUGUUUCCCAUCAUCUACUGCUGUGACGUGAAUAAGGUCGACUGCCCGUACGAGGCAGAGCUGUUGGCCUCCCCUAAGGUUGGUCUCGCAGCCUCCAGCCGGUGGAGUUGCGAGAACUGCGGUAAAAGGCACAACGUCGUCCGUGAGAGCUGCCUACGCUGCCGAGCCCCAGGAAUGUAUUCGAAACUGUUCAUCGGCCAAGCAGUAAAGGAGGUUGGCUGCACUGAGAGUCUUGUGCGCUUCUUCUACGCCACACACCCGGAUAUUGUGAUCCACCGCGCGGAGUGUCACCACGACACUGACGCCGACGCCUUGCAGCGCGGCAAAGGGUGUGCUUCCAUCUACGUCCGCCGCGAGGACGCCGCGCUGCUCCAGCAGAAACUGCAUCGAAACGCUUUCUUCGAUGUGGACAGCGUGACGGAGCAGCUGCUGGUCUACUACGUUUACGCUGAGCAGCAGCAGUGGCUGCAUAGCUAUGCGCAGCAGCGCAAUGCAGGCAUGCGGAAGCGCCCUCUGUUUUUGCCUCUGUCGCCGUUGGUGGUUGAGGAGAGUGCGUCGUCUUCGGCGCCGGCGAGGCGUGUCACCGGCCACGGGCAGGGCCGUCGGCGUCAGAGUAUUCCUGACUCCACAUCCCUCCCAUCCGAACGAGCGGUGCACUGAAAAGAGCGAUCAAAACGCGGCGAACCCAUCAUGUCUCGGCACUGGUACAAGCUGACAGAGAGUCACACCCGCCCGAGUCGGAGGUCGGCGGUGGCUGCGGCAUUCACAACGUAAGUGCGGAGGCAAACGGAAGAGGCGCAAUGGGAUCUGUGUGCGCAGAGAGUGAAUAGAUGGCGUGGACUGUUACAGUGAAUGCAUGAGAAGGAGGGGCAAUCGUGGCGUCAUUCGCCCCUGAGCAUACCUUGAAAUUUGUGGAAUAGGUCGGUAGCCACUGACGACGAGGAGAGUCCGUUGUAUCAACGGCUGAUGCCGCUGCUGUCCUUUCCGUGCCCGUUCCCCCAACCCUCCGUUCCCCCAUCAAGUGUGCAUAUACCCACGUCUUGUCGCUCGUCUCGCGUGUUUCCUCUGCCCCCCCCUCCCCUCUUUGCACGCGCACCCCGCUUUCUCCCUCUGAGGAGGAGGGCGGGUAGUAUGCUGACAGACCUUGUCCCCUGCCAAUGCCGAGCUACUACUGGUUCUGACAUGGCGUCAGGUACCUACGACACGGUGAACCCACAUGCAUUGCUGCUGGUGCCGGCGCUGAGCUCGCGCAUGUUGUUUCGUCGGAGCGACCUGCGACACUGAACACGCUUGUACUAUCCAGGUGACGGGCAGAGUGCCCGAUUGACUCAAACGUAUCGCAGCCGGCCCUUACACGGAGUAUUAGUGUGGGGAGAGGCUGAGGCCACUGCGCGGGGAUGCAGAACGUGGAGGUUGGCAUGGAGGAGGAGCGGCUGUGAGGCGACCUGUAGAGCGAGUAUUUAGAGUUUGGGGCUGAGGCCAUACUCGAGUGACGGAGUCGGCGAAGUUCCGUGACGCGUGUGUUUGCGACUGCUUCGCAUCACGCGAUGGACCUCUUACCGUGCCGGGGUUGGCGAAGAGUAAAGACGGUGGUGUUGGGCGUUUGAUUUUAUGUUAUGGGGCAGCAAAACGGACGCGUUGACGAGCCAGAAGCGAAUAGUGUGCGCUGCCCUAGCGUGUGCGUCUGCUGAUGUUGUGGCUCGUUUUCCCUCUCCCUCUCUCCCCCCAAUCGGCUCUCCGUUCUCCGCACUGGUGUCGGUUUGACGGGGGCGUCUGUAGCGGUCUUCGCAUUACCACUAUGAUUCGUCGCGCACGUACUGGUUUGUGGUCGCUUGGCCAAUUCGAGUUUUAUUUUACGGUGUUUUCCCGUAGCUUGUUCUGUCUUCUUCUUCCCUCCUAGCUAUCGCUAUACGUGUCCAUGAAUGCGUAUAUGCGGCUAUGCAUAUAUAUCUACAUGUAUAUAUAUAUAUAUACACGUACAUAAAUGUAGAUGUAUAUAUAUAUAUAUAUGCUUGUGUGUGUGUGUGAUCCCUCUUUUUUGUUCCUUUUCGAAUACCCUUUAUCUUUCAAAAUGGUUUCUUUUCUUGUGCUGAUCUGGCUUCGCCCUCGUUACGGUGAGCACGCGCACGCGCACAGGCACAGACGGGCACAAUGCCGCUGUUCUCUCAUAUCCCAUCUGCGCUUAUGUAAUGCGCGAAGGGAUUCGCUCCCUGAGUAGGUGCCGCACGAAAAAAAUGUGCUCUUCAUGCAGCGCAACACGCUCCCCCCCCUGUCAUGUGCUGCGGGGCCCUUGUCUCCGCUUCCUCAGCUUCAAGAGUGCGCACACUACCUUUCCUCGUUCAGCACCUCUUGCCACCAGACGUUCAGCUGCACCCCCACCUCCAUUCAAGUCCGCUAUGAGCCCUGCUCAGGCGGCAUUUCUUUGCUCGUUGUUGAUGUAAGCAGGAAAAGACGACUUCCGGUGACUGCAGCUCUUCUUGGGCCACAUCCGGUGGCUGGCUCGCCAAUGUAGCCUAACACAGUGGCUUAGGAGGUACACAGAGGCUGAUAUUGCCGAGCGAAGGAGUUGCGUGGCUUUGCGUGCCUCUGAGUUUCUGAUGGGGCAUGCAUGCUGGAAGCAGACUCGACGGACGAGCAGCAAGAACACGCUAUUCCGUCGUAGUGGGCCAAGACGCUGAAAUGGGGAGGGGUUAUUCCACAGCGAAGGACGACGAUCCAUCCCUGAGCAAGUCCUUCCCCCUUUCCUCCCACGUGCGUUCCGCCCACGACCUGCCUCCGCUUGUGUGUCCCCGUGUGCGCGCCUCUGCGUAUGUCUCUCUCCUUUUAUCGUGGUGUGCACGGAGCAGCACCGAUAUCGCGGUCUGUAGGGAACAGAGGGGCGUACAAGAGUGAGUGCAGAGAAGCGACGUCCUCCAGGUCUUCGUAGCCGGCUAAGUAUCCCUCCGUUUGCAUGCUUGGUGACCGAUAAGGGGGCGAUAAAGGAGAAGGUCGAAAUAAGCG
rnacentral:misc_RNA from 1 species